rnacentral:tRNA from 1 species
UCCCUGAUAUUUCAGUUGGUAGAGCCCUUGACGGUUAAUCGAGUAGUCACAGGUCCGAGCCUGUUCGAAGAGCCA